GUGGCAUCGAUGAUGAAACAAUCUAUUUGUUAUCCUUGCACUUUGAUUUACAGUGAAGAAAAUCAUGGGGAAUAUUGUUCCUGAGAUGCAU
rfam:Cucumis sativus cultivar 9930 chromosome 3, whole genome shotgun sequence.